rnacentral:lncRNA from 10 species
UUCACGCAGUCCCCCUCUUCCGGGGUUCCCCAGCGCAGGCACCAAUUUGAUCCAUCUUCCGCCUGCCAGCUCCCCAUCCACCCUUCCCUCCCUGUCUUCACCCGUGUGCUCAAGGACUCAACAAACACCUGUCAGCAGCCCAAGAGCUAAGUUCAGGGACACGCAAGUUCCUCGGGUCAGGUGGGCCAGUCGGCACUGAGGCAGAGGAGGCAAGGGCUGGUCCAGAGAGCCUGGUCACAGCAGAAGGGCCUGCUCCAAUGUCGGGGCCAGGUGGAGGCAGUGGGGAGGCGUCCCCUAGGGGUGCCCUUCCCCACCACGUUCCCUGCUCCUACCGUCCUCCUCGCCUGGGAUGUCCUGCCCCAUCCAUCCGUGCAAGGCUGAGUGUAGAUGCCAGCCCCGCUGAGGCUCCUCCUGGACCUCAGGAUCGCUGUGUUUCUCCCCCACCAGGGGGCUGCCCCCUCUACCACCAGCUCACCCAGCAGGUAUCUCUCAUCAGCCUUUGGCCUGGCUCCUUGCUGGGCUCUGAAUGUCUGCAUUCCCCCAAACUUUAUGUGUUGCGAUCCUAACCCCCAAGGUUAUGGUAUCAGAAGUGGGGCUUUUGGGAGAUGACCAGGGGUGGAACCUCAUGAGUGGGAUUAGUGUCCUUAUAAAAGAGACCCCAGAGUUCUCCCAAGCCCCUCCACCAUGUGGAGACCCAGUGAGAAGCUGUCUGUGAACCAGGAAGGGAUCCUCACUAGAGAGCGAGCUGGCACCUUCAUCUUGGGCUUCCAGCCUCCAGAACUGUGAGAAAUAAGUAUCUGUUGAUGAACCACCUGUCUCUGCUAUUCUGUUGGGGCAGUCCAGAUAGACAAAGACAUGCCCGUUCCCGCGGCCCACCACCUCUGCCCUGAGCACAGUGGGUGAGUCUCGGUUCCCCUUAUCCCAUCCCUGCUGGGGUCCAGCCCUGGCUUUUCCUGAGGUAGUUUCUCCAGGACCAAGCAGACACCCACAACCAGCAGCCCUUAAGGCAUGGACGCACUCGUCCCUGAGGCCUGGGUGUCCCGCCUGGAGGGGCAUGUCCACAGCUGCUCUGGGUCCUGACGCUCCAGGAGCUCACGCUGUCUGCAGAUCCACCACUUCCCUGGGCAGUCCCCGGCCUGCGUCUUCCUCAGUGCUCAGCUGGAGGUGGAGAGAAAUCAGGCUGGGACGGAGGGUGGCCCUUGCUUUGCACGAUUCCUGCCUCGACGUUACACCAGGGACAUUCCAGCAUCUCCCCUUCAUUAACUGUAGACCGCCAGCAAAUCCAGAUUUCAUUCAACCAAGUAAACUGGUAGAGUCAUUUCCAGCAGCUAAUGUGAGCUAGCGCAUUAAAUUCAGAAUCUCUAGUAAGUGUACCUGCAUCAAUAAAGCCAAGCCGGUCCAGCUGCAUUAAUACCCUACCCUCCAUUCCCACACGGUUCCCAGGUCUCCGUGUGUGAAUUUGUAACAUCUUACGAGCAUUUUGGUGUGAAAGUGGUUCCUUCCUGAGUCAGGCUUUGUACUUGACCCUUCCCCUCCCUGGGAGUACACUGAGGUUCUAGAGGCAACAGGGUGGCUAUGGUGGUUAAAUAAAAUGAGCAUCAUUUCUAGGCACCUGGCCAGGUAAGCUUAUCACAGCAUUUUCAAGCAGAACAAAAAAAAUAAAUAAAGGCUACUCUCAGAUCUUGGAGGACAAGCUGCUUCCCCUGGAAGGAGAGGCUCAGAGAACCAGGGGGUUCACAAUUCUCAGCUUCAUCUGAGCCCAACCAGACAUCCCCAUGCCAAGCUUCAGCAUCCAGUUCCUUCCCACUCAGUGCCCACGUUUCAGUAGUGAGGCUGUGAGUGUGAGCCACACAGCAGUCACACAACUCAGAGUUAAACUGUGCAUCCGAGUUGUAGCAGCAGCAGCCCCGAGGCUCUCAGGAACAAGGGACUCUUCCAUGGCCAUGGCAGUCCUGAUUCUCUGUCUAUGACUUAAACUGAGUUUAGAGACCUGAACGUGUGGUUCCUUCCUGUUAGUGCUGCUGGACACUCAGGGGACCCCCCACAGCCCUCGUGGUUGUGGUCAUCCUCGUGGCCGUGACAGCCUCACACAGCAGCACGUGGGUUCCCGAGGCCCUCAAUUCUGCUGGUGCCUCACAGCCAGCAUGGGGGAUGGCUUGGUUAACUGUGAAGCUCCCCCAACAACACUGUGGGCCAACAGCCUCCCCUUCCCACUGGCCAGGAGAUCGGCCUGCAGCCCAGCCCAAGCAACAACCACACUAACCUAAUCCCCGGACCCCACCUUUUGAUAGUGACAGGAGGCAGACAAAUCCUAGGCAGACAGGGACAGGUUCCCAGUGAAACCCCACCUCCGAGCCAAAGACAGUUUAAAGCCUGAAAGCCAAGCUACAAAUUAAAUCCUCAGCCUGGAUUGAGAACCCAUCUUCCCAUUUGGCUGCUUUCCUCUGAUUGAUCCCCACCCUUCACCUAUUUUACAUGUACCUAUCUUUUCCUAAUUCAUUUUCUACACUGGCAUGCCCACCUUUGAGUGGUACCUUUGUUUAAGCCUUUUUUGCAUAAUCAGAAGCCAAUCAGCAUGCACUCCCCCAUUCUGAGCCCAUAAAUGCCCCGGACCCAGCCACACUAGGAGAGAAACCACCUGACUUCAGGUCGGGAACCACCCGUGCAUCCCCUCUCUGCUGAGAGCUGUUCCGUCUCUCAAUAAAAUUCUUCUCUGCCCUUCUCACACUUCGAUUGGCAGCAUCUCCUCAUUCUUCUUGGACACGGGACAAGAACUUGGGAACUGCCAUACAUGGGUACAAGCUAUAACACAAGCAGGCUGGAACAUGCCCAGCCCAGCCACAGGCUGAGCUGGUGAACAGCCAGGUGUGGCCCAGGCAGGCUGAGUGGGUGGGCCACCUCCUGCGGCAGGUAGCAUGGCCAAGAGAGGCCUGGGGAGGGGGGGUGUCAGCAGCCAGAGGUACCUGGCUGGCAAAGUGACCAAAGAGGUACCUGACUGUGUCACUUUGAGGGCCUGUCUCUGGGGACCCCCUCCUAGUAUGAAUUUAUGUAUCAGUUGGGGUCUACUUGGGAGAUGGAAACCACAACAGUGAUUCUAAUAGCAUGAAUUUAAUGUGCAGAAUUUUUCAUUAGUUCUGGGUAAAAACAGCUCUAGGGAAUCAUGGAGGUUGCAACCACAAAAUUCAGAGAGGUGACCUGGCUGGCGACACUGGUGAUAAUGGUCACCUGCCAUGCAGCCUUUCAGCUCAGGUGGGCACACUCCUCUGCCCCUGCCCACUUCCUCUCCCAGGUGAAUCUUGACCACACCUGUGCCUGGCACUGUGCACACAUUCUCUGUUGUUCAACUCUGCGAUCAAUCUGGAAAAAAAAGAAAAAAAAAAAACCUUUUUAGGAGAGUAAAAGGAAAAUAAAUCUUGGGGCCCCAAAAUCACUAAGCCAAAGGGAAAAGUCAAGCUGGGAACUGCUUAGGGCAAGCCUGCCUCCAAUUCCAUUCAAAGUCAUUCCCCCGCUCGCUGAGAUAGAUGCAUAUCUGAUUGCCUUCUUUGGAAAGGCUCAUCAGAAACUCAAAAGAAUGUAACUCUAUCUUACAUGUGUUGAUUGAUGUCUCAUAUCUCCCUAAAAUGUAUAAAACCAAGCUGUCCUCUGACCACCUUGGGCACAUGUCAGGACCUCCUGAGGCUGUGUCACAGGUGUGCAUCCUUAAUUUUGGCAAAAUAAACUUCCCAAAUUGGCUGAGA